UACGAAUGGGGCUAGCGUUGCUCGGAAUCACUGGGCGUAAAGCGCACGUAGGCGGAUUUCUAAGUCAGGGGUGAAAUCCUGGAGCUCAACUCCAGAACUGCCUUUGAUACUGGGAAUCUCGAGUCCGGGAGAGGUGAGUGGAACUGCGAGUGUAGAGGUGAAAUUCGUAGAUAUUCGCAAGAACACCAGUGGCGAAGGCGGCUCACUGGCCCGGUACUGACGCUGAGGUGCGAAAGCGUGGGGAGCAAACAGG
rnacentral:rRNA from 1 species